rnacentral:piRNA from 1 species
UGCUAUAUUCCUAGUGAAAAA